UCUCCCGGUGGCCCCGAGCCAGCGGUGGCACCGCUGCGGAGAACACCCCGGGCUCCCCGCCCCGCCCCUCCGAUGGAGCUGGUCCCGGUCGCCGGGUGACCCCGCUUCUCCAAACUACGUCUGGGUUUACUCUUUUUUUUCGUCUUUUUUUCGGUCAGGCGGGACUGGCGGGAGGUGCUGCGGGGCAGUCCCGAGCACCAGAGCGCUCUGAGGCCCCAGGGAGGAGAGGGGACACUAGAGUGCCUAUUUAGCUUCUGAAUGAUUUACAUGACUACAAAUUUUCAUUUGCUGCUGCAGGUGGACAGCGUUGAUGCUCCUUCUGGUGCUCCCAUGGGUCCAUCUACUCAAACCACAGGCAAAUGCUGUGCUUCUACUGAAGUUUAUUUCAGUUCAUAAUAACGUCAAAAUAAAAUACUGGCGACCGUCUGAUGAGUCUAAAGGAAGCCUUAGACUUGGUUACAUAAAUUGAAUGAAGCUUGCCAAGGUGACCUUCAAAAACUUCUUGGACGUAUGAGGAGUGACAUGUGAUGACCUCAAACCACAAGUAAUUCUAAUACAACUUUACUCACAGAAAAACCUUUUGGGAAGGUACCAGGACUUCAACUGAGCUUAAUGCAAGACUACAGACAUUGAGAACAUGGUAAAACAUGCAAACUGUUUGGAAUUCAAGGACAGAAGUUUUCCCCACGGUUCGUGAAAUGAACACCACAAUGUAAGAAAUUGAAAACUCAAGCUUCUUUAGGUCCCAGUCCACCUAAGUACAUAAAAACAUGAGUUUGAGUAAGCCCAUCUGGAAGCCAGCUUUGCAGACUACUCCCAGAGCAGCAAGCAAUACUGCAUAUUUAUACCAUGGAAAGAAGCAAACAGGUGACACCCACUUCUGCAGAACACCACUGGAGCUCUCUAAGCAUUUCCUCUGAGUAUUCUUUGUAAGUGAAAUGAGUCAGCGAAGUGGGAGAGCAUUGCUCUGUGUUCAUAGCCUGCAGGCUCCCCUCAGCAGGGGUGUGUGGUGAGUGACAGGAACUGGUUAAGUUUGCGUGAUGGUGAGAGCAAUGAAAUAAUUUCUCAUGCUAAGGCUGGCUGUACAAGCUGAGGUUUUCCACCCUCUCUGAGGAGAUGAUGUUUUUCUCUGCCACACACUGGGUGCAGCUGUCAGCUCCUGGCAGCUGCAGGAAGGCUCUUGCCGUAAUCCUCUGCGGAUUCCACUAAACAUAAGCUAACAUGCAAUGUAUAGCAUCUGUAUUAGGUUCUCAAGUAGGAUUUGCCAUGAAAGUUAUGUUAAUUCAUCUUAUCUUAGCGUGACUCGCGUGCAGUUUGGGCUGGAUGACUCUGUGGGAGAGGCCAGACUCUUCUUGUUGUAAGUAGUGGGAUUAGGAUGUCUGCUGCUCAGACUCACCUACCUUUUUCAAGUCACUUCUAAAAUGCCACUUAUUCAGAGCUCCCUGCUAACUAAAACUUUGGCAGCUUGAAUCUGGAGUUUUCCUGUUUCAGCAGAUGACUUUGCUGGCUCCAGGUCUUUUGAAAUUCCUGGAAAAACACAAGACUGCCAGACUGAUCAGUCCCAAAGCAUAAAUUACAAGCAGCGGAAGCUCAGGUUAGGGAUGUAAAUAUGACUGACUUCCAACCCAUUUAUUCCAACUCAUUGAUCUGUUAAUUUCAAAUAAUUAAUUAAAUUCAGUGAUGAUGUGAUAGGUAGUCUGGAAAAAAAAUCUCAAAAGACUAAGAUGGUUUUCCAGACUUCAGUCAGCAUGUCCACAUUGCAUCUUUUAUGCAGUACAAAACAAACAUCAGGAACAACUGAAUUUUAUAUUCUUGUGUUUGUUUCAUGUAGUUCUGUGCGCAGUAUAAGAAAAUAAAUCUAAACUAGGAUGGAUCUUCUAAAGUUGAAACCUGAUACUUGUCUGUGCUAAAAGUUGCCCUUCAGUGAAUUUUCAUAGAAAUACCAAGGAAAGGAAGACAGUCAGUCUCAGACUCCUCCAUUACAGAGUAAUGCAUUAGUACAAAGUACAAAUCUUAAAAACAACCCCAAAAACCUAAAACUUUGUUUGAAACACAGUUAGUGACUUCUCAGUGCUAGAAAGUGAAACAGAAAUAAAAUUGAAGAACCUUUUCUGUACACGUUGACCCUUAGACUGGGGUGGAGAUAUUUUUUAAAACUCCUUUGGGUAGGAUGAAAGGCUGUAAUAGAUCAGAACUUCUGGCCAAGGGAAAGGAGGAUUUUUGUGCUUGUGUAAUAUCAGCCUUUUACCAAAAUUAGAGAGGGGAGGAAAGAAUUUCUUCCAUUUUAAGUAGUACUGUCAGUAAGAGCAUGGACAGGUCUGAGCUGGACAGAAAACUUCUAAUUGCUGCUUCUUUGGAAAUCUCUUUUCAUGGAGAUCUGGGGUCAAAUUCUUUUCUAAGGUCUCUUGGCACCAUACCAACAAAAUAGUGCCAGUGUAAUUCAGGCAGCCCUGGCUCCUGCUGUGCUCUGGACUAUGUUAUCCAGGUGUAGUUUGACCUUUGUAUUUUACCCAUACUGUGACCACCUCACAUGCACGUCAGUGUGAGGAAUAAUGUCCUUGAAGAUUGCUUUGAAGAAAGGCACCCACGGUAGUAGCAGGCAGAAGAAGAUUGAUUCCUUUCUUUUAAUCUGUGCAAACCAAAACUCUCUCUCACCCAGGGUGCUCUCAGGAAAUGUGUUCAUGUUUAACACACUGUAAUUUACAGCCUGUCAGGCACCAACUCAUUGCCUUUUCCAACUGUGUUCAGCUUCCUCUGCUCCCCUUAAAUCAGAGGAUUAUCACUGUGAGGUCACCUCCAGAAACCAGUCUGUUGAGGCAUCAGACUUUCCUUGCAGCUUCAGAAUGUGUCUCUGUGCUUGGCUGAGACAGUUCUUUGGUAAAAGCUUUGCAGAUAAUUCAGUGCAACUUUGCAUUUUACUGAGAGACAACGAUUUUCUGGUUUGGGAAAACAAAUCCAUUUUGUGCAGAUUGCCAGUGCUUCUGCCCUUCUUAUAACACAGUUUCUAGAAGGCAAAUCCUGUAAAAGGGACCUUUAAGUCUCUCCUGAAGAUUACACUCUUGUAGGGGUCUUGCCUUCAUCUGUAGAUUUAAUGGCUUAAUAAGCAUUAGACCCUCCUGUUAUGCAGUAACAAAUAGGAAUACAAUACUUUUAUCAAUAUUUGGCACAAUUAAUUUUUUUUUAUGUGAAACUAAAUAUUGAUGCUGUCAAGUGACUGCAGCUCAGGGACAUAAAUUACAAAUAUUCUUCUCCUAUGAGCUUUGCUCAGAUUUUGCAUUCAUAUACAGUAACCAUCUAAUGUCUUUCUAUUCCUGUAAGCCAUAUGAUUUGAUUGCCAGAUUACAUGGUUCUGUAUUGUG